CCUAACCCUGUGCCUGGAUAUCCAGAGCCAGAAUAAAGCCAUCUACACCUGCAAGGCAGAAAACCCAGUCAGUAAUGCGACAGCUACCUUCAACUCCACACAGCUGCAUCUGCCUCAUGCUACAGGUGAUGAAAAAUGGAGUUGGAAUACCAGAUCAGAUGUUUCAGUGCUUGCUGUGCUCGCUGUGCUUGUUGUGGCUGUGGGAUUCAUCGUGCUCGGGUUAAGAAACAUAGAAUCAGGAAAUGAUUAUGUGAAACUAGGGACUAAAGUCAGAGAACGAGAGACAAUUCAUGACCACCAAGCCUUGGAGGGCAGUAAUGAACACCUGCUGUCAAACAGCACAGGACACGACUACCAGACAAUAAAUUAAAAUGCUUCAGACUUUUCUUUGUUUGUCUCUCCUCAAGCACUGGGAGAAUCAACAUGAAACAGGGAUGGAGAGUGUGAGAUGGGGUCUGUGUUUAAACUGGACUUUCUCUGGGGGACGCUGAUUUGCUGAGUGUGGAUCUUCAUUAUAACCAAAUCACACUUUUCUCUGAUUUUACAAUCCAACAAAUCAUUUUGCAAGUACAUUAUUAUUAUUAUUUUCAAUGCGCUUUUAACCCAAAAACUUACUUUUAUUAUUGUCAGAAGUGGGGGUUUUUGUUUGUUUGUUUGUUUGUUUUGUUUUAUAUGUUUCACAAAUGUUUUAAAUGUUGUGAAUUUCUCAAUCAAUUUGUUCCCAAUGAUGCCACAUCAUUA